GGCUCAGCCCUGGUCAGACAAAGUUCCAGGCAGAAAGAAGGGGUGAUGCAUGGGCUUGGUGAGAUUCAGGAAAUGAACGAAGGCCCAUGGGAUGGGGGCAGGGUGAGUGAGGGGGCUGGUGGCAGGAGAUUCGACUGGAUCAGAGAGGGAGGCAGGAGCCAGCGGGGUAAGUGUUCCUGGGCACUUCAGAGAAGUUGGUGUUGAGAGAUGAAGGCUUUCUGUGUGAGCUUUUGUGGUAGAGACACACCAUUGUUCACCAAAAUCCCCUGAUUCUUUUUUUUUUUUUUCGGGCUGUCAGGAAUACUAUCUGCUGUGCCAUUGGGUGUGGCUGUGUGACAUAGUUAUAAAGCCAGAAUGGGAGCAGAAGUGAUGUCCCUACUGCCUGUCCUGGCCUGCAAAACGUGCCCACAAGUUCUCCUCUUCCUCCUUUCUUCGCAUCUGGUUAACUGAGAUGGGAACAAUCACAAGAGUGGUGAAAGCCUUGUGUUGAAGAUGGCAGAGUGGCCUCUAGUUUGGGUUCAUGAAUGACUUCAUGGGGCAGAACGCCCACCCCCAGCCUUACCACAGCCUUUCUGACCUGGAACCGCCUUGGAGUGCAACAUGUGAAGAAAAAUCAACACCCUGUUCUAACUGUGGAAAGCUGGUCAUUGCAGCACAGCCCAACUAAUACUGCCAGGAAGACCUUGGCAAUGAAACCUGAAGUCCUGUGGGUCACAGGGGAGAGAACAGGAUCUUUAGGAUUUCCCUGGCACCGAGAGCCUCCUGGUCUCUACCGACACCACCAGGCGCUGACCACAGCUUUCUCCGGAAAUGGUAAGUCCUUCACCCGGACUGCCCCCAGGUAGCCAGGCUGAACACCCAAGAACCCAGAGUUCCUGGCUCCUCCCACCACAUCCGGACUUGGAUGAAACGUCACACUGAUUCUUACUGCCAAAAGGGCCACUGACAACACCUAGCACUGUUGGGGAGUUAGCUUCCUGUGGACUGAAUCUUCACUAAUGGAAAACAGGAGAUGAGAGGGAGACUGGCAGACGAAUCCCCCUUCCUCCUCCCUGCCAUGGCUAUCAUGUCUCUCUGCAGCCCUUUCAGAGACGAACCAUAUGCCAGCCAGACAUGCUUGCUGAGUACCCUGCUGUGAUCUCUGAGGCUUGGCAUAAAGUGUCAGCCAGAAGGACAAUGCACCAUUUCACACAUCCUCAUAUUUCUUUGCUUUGCUUUUCCUUGUCUCAGCCUUGCUGCCUUUGUUUGCAUUUCCUAAAUGUAAUAGUUAAUUUUAUGUUUCAACCUGUUUGGGCCAUGGUGUCCAGGCAUGGUAUCAAACAUUUUUCUGUGAAGAGAUAAAUUUAUAUAUUUGGGAGGCUAUUUUGGGGGUGAGAUUAACAUUUAAAUCAAUGGACUCUGAGGAAAGCAGACUCUUUCCCAUAAUAUGGGUGGGCUUCAUUCAACCAGCUGAAAGUCUGAACAGAAUAAAGGGCCGACUUCUUUUGAGCA
rnacentral:lncRNA from 1 species